rnacentral:rRNA from 2 species
GGGGAAUAUUGCACAAUGGGGGAAACCCUGAUGCAGCAACGCCGCGUGAAGGAUGAAGGUUUUCGGAUUGUAAACUUCUUUGAUGAGGGACGAAAAAAAUGACGGUACCUCAAAAACAAGCCACGGCUAACUACGUGCCAGCAGCCGCGGUAAUACGUAGGUGGCAAGCGUUGUCCGGAUUUACUGGGCGUAAAGGGCGCGUAGGCGGCUCUUUAAGUUAGAUGUGAAAACCCAGGGCUCAACCCUGGGAGUGCAUUUAAAACUGAAGGGCUCGAGUGCAGGAGAGGUAAGUGGAAUUCCUAGUGUAGCGGUGAAAUGCGUAGAUAUUAGGAGGAACACCAGUGGCGAAGGCGACUUACUGGACUGUAACUGACGCUGAGGCGCGAAAGCGUGGGGAGCAAACA